CUCUGCUUGUGAGCAGAACAUUAGUCAUCCCAAAAAUGGGAAAUUAAGAAAGAGGUUUGAGAAGAGAGAGGGACAUGCGAGAGAGAUAUUGACAGAAGAGAGUGAGCACACGCUGCUAGUAGUAUGAGGAAAUACAUCUGCAGGUGCGUGCUCACUUUUCUUCUGCCAGCUUCUCCUUCAUCUCGUGUGCUUCUGCUUCAGUCUCCUAUGAUGCUAGCUUCUCUCUACCCAGUCACUCUAACUAGAAUUUCUUAAACUCUCUUCAGCUGAACCUUGCUCUUCAUUCCAUGUUAAUCAUGCUUUUCUUAAACUCUUACAAUUCUCUUUGUUCUUUUGUAUCUAUCAUUAAAUAGUAAUUAUAGUUCAUGAAAUGACACAUCCAUUCCAGACCUUGGUUAUGUGUGUAAUUUUGUAAUUUGUACUAUAUGCUUUAUAAAUGGAGAAUCAGCAGAUAACUAAAGUGAUUUUUCGAGUUUCGAGUUUGUGUUUUGGUGGUAAACAUUUAUUAUAUACUAUUUAUUUUUAUUUCUCGUUUCAAAAAAAUAUAAUUUAUUUUAUUUAUGCAAUUGGGAAGGAACUUUUCUUGUUUGUAUUGAACUUUAGAAAACCUAACAGGAAUUUGUACUGUUGAUAUGUUACGGAAAACUGCGUUUUGUAUCAACCCUGGUCUUUUUUUUUGGUCAAAAACCCUGGUUUUCUCUUCUUCUUUUUCUUCCCUUUCUCUCCUUAAUUAUAAUGUAGAUCCAUCUAAUGCUUAAUGGAUCCUGAAAAGCUGGAGAGGAAUUUUAGGAGCUGGUGAAAAAUCACACUCUUCUCUAGUCAUCAAUCUCGUGGCUCAGAUUUUGGGUUUAGGGGGAAUUAAGAAAGGGAUAUACUUUAUAUCGAGCAACUCAAUAAGCAAAGAUAUGAAUUCAUCAACAUAGUGUGAUUGUUUUACUGAUUGUUAGUUGAUAUGAAUUCAUCAACAUUCAAGAGCCUUCCCUAUACAGGUUAUACAUUUUUUCCCAUCACUUAUGUUUUACUUUACCUUAUCUUUGUAAUGAAAUUUAAAUCCAAAAGUUGGUUGUGAUGAGGAGAAAAGAAUGUUGUUAAUUAGCUAGAUAGAUUGUUGAUUAAUUGAUAAAAUAGUGUGAUUGUUUUACUGAUUGUUGGAAGAGAAAGCAAUGGUACUUGAUAACAUCUCUCCUGAACCCAUGGGAUACCACUUAUAAAAGUUCAACAAGCUAGGAAGCAUUGUGCUGAGCGCACUGAAGAAAUUCCCAAAGCUUCAGGUUUUGAAUGAUAGAGGCAGCCAGGCAGCACAGUUUUCACCUGCAAACUGCUAGAAGAGCCAAUACACGGCCAGCCAAGACAACGCAUCAUGAAUUAAAGUUGCUUUUCAAGUAAAAUUGGAGUCCAUUCCUUGAGGCCCUUUUUUAGUUUCCCAACAUUCCAACAAUGGUCAUUGCAACAACUAUAAUCUCAUUACACAAUGCCUAAUUUUCGUAACAUUCCAACAAUGGUCUUUUUGCGUGGAAUGUUUGGGGGAGGUAAUGCGAAAAUCAAAUAUUUCCUGGUGCUGUCCAAAAUCUCUGAAGAGCUUGUUGCAAGAAUGAGAUUUCUUCCUCCACAGAAAUCAAGGAUGGCAUGGUGGAUAAAAGCAAAUUGGACAUUAUGCCCUUACCAGAUGUUCCAGCUGAUUGAGAAUUUGGAAUCCAUCAAAUGUCCUCGCCCUUUGCGAAAACCCAGAUCUUUAGAUUGGGAACCUCC